rnacentral:pre_miRNA from 1 species
UGAAUCACGUUGGAGAAGCAGGACACAUGCUUGAUUUGUGAAGUAUCAAGCUUGUGUCCUACUUUUCCAGCAUGAAUUC